rnacentral:sRNA from 1 species
CGGUGCGGAGCGGUUCGGCUCUGAGCGGCUGGGCGACCGGCGCGUCGUGCGGCGCUGCGGCGGAGCCUCCUUAAGGAAGGUGCAAGAGGUUGGCAGCUUCGAUUGAAGCACAUCGACCGGCGACAGCAGCCAGGAGUCAUGAGCGACAGCGGCGAGCAGAACUACGGCGAGCGGGUCUAGAUCCAGAAGAAGCUCCCGAAGGCAUUAUACCCGGUCACGGUCUCGCUCCCGCUCCCAUAGACGAUCACGUAGCAGGUCUUACAGUCGAGAUUAUCGUAGACGGCACAGCCACAGCCAUUCUCCCAUGUCUACUCGCAGGCGUCAUGUUGGGAAUCGGCUUAAAACUUUUUUUUUUCCCUAGGCAAAUCCUGAUCCUAACUGUUGUCUUGGAGUAUUUGGGCUGAGCUUGUACACCACAGAAAGAGAUCUAAGGGAAGUGUUCUCUAAAUAUGGUCCCAUUGCCGAUGUGUCUAUUGUAUAUGACCAGCAGUCUAGGCGUUCAAGAGGAUUUGCCUUUGUAUAUUUUGAAAAUGUCGAUGAUGCCAAGGAAGCUAAAGAACGUGCCAAUGGAAUGGAGCUUGAUGGGCGUAGGAUCAGAGUUGAUUUCUCUAUAACAAAAAGACCACAUACGCCA